UACGAAGGGGGCUAGCGUUGCUCGGAAUCACUGGGCGUAAAGGGCGCGUAGGCGGAUCUUUAAGUCGGGGGUGAAAGCCUGUGGCUCAACCACAGAAUUGCCUUCGAUACUUGGGAUCUCGAGACCGGAAGAGGUGAGUGGAACUGCGAGUGUAGAGGUGAAAUUCGUAGAUAUUCGCAAGAACACCAGUGGCGAAGGCGGCUCACUGGUCCGGUUCUGACGCUGAGGCGCGAAAGCGUGGGGAGCAAACAGG
rnacentral:rRNA from 1 species